rnacentral:rRNA from 1 species
GUCGAGCGAACAGACGAGGAGCUUGCUCCUCUGACGUUAGCGGCGGACGGGUGAGUAACACGUGGAUAACCUACCUAUAAGACUGGGAUAACUUCGGGAAACCGGAGCUAAUACCGGAUAAUAUAUUGAACCGCAUGGUUCAAUAGUGAAAGACGGUUUUGCUGUCACUUAUAGAUGGAUCCGCGCCGCAUUAGCUAGUUGGUAAGGUAACGGCUUACCAAGGCAACGAUGCGUAGCCGACCUGAGAGGGUGAUCGGCCACACUGGAACUGAGACACGGUCCAGACUCCUACGGGAGGCAGCAGUAGGGAAUCUUCCGCAAUGGGCGAAAGCCUGACGGAGCAACGCCGCGUGAGUGAUGAAGGUCUUCGGAUCGUAAAACUCUGUUAUUAGGGAAGAACAAAUGUGUAAGUAACUAUGCACGGUCUUGACGGUACCUAAUCAGAAAGCCACGGCUAACUACGUGCCAGCAGCCGCGGUAAUACGUAGGUGGCAAGCGUUAUCCGGAAUUAUUGGGCGUAAAGCGCGCGUAGGCGGUUUUUUAAGUCUGAUGUGAAAGCCCACGGCUCAACCGUGGAGGGUCAUUGGAAACUGGAAAACUUGAGUGCAGAAGAGGAAAGUGGAAUUCCAUGUGUAGCGGUGAAAUGCGCAGAGAUAUGGAGGAACACCAGUGGCGAAGGCGACUUUCUGGUCUGUA